GUUUAUAUCUUCUUUAUUGCUAAAGGAAAAAAAAAAAGAGAUAUUCUACAUUGCCAUAUUCUUCAUUGUUACUCUUAUCACCUCCAAUAAUCUGAUUUUUUUUUCUCUCUUUUAUCAUCAUUGUCUUCCUUGUGUGGCUUGAGACUUGUGGUGAGAACAAAUUAGGAAACACUAAUUUACUCAAGAUUGUUUAGUAUGAGAAGAUAUUGGGUGUUUGAAAACCAAAUAAACAGAAUGAGAUUUGAGUGUGUCAAGAAGAAAAACGUUGAAUAUAUAGAAAAAUAAUUGGGUUCACCCCCUAGAAUAAUCU